UACGUAGGGACCGAGCGUUGUCCGGAAUCAUUGGGCGUAAAGAGCGUGUAGGCGGCCACUUAAGUCCUGCGUGAAAUCUUGCGGCUCAACCGCAAGCGGUCGUGGGAAACUGGGUGGCUAGAGUACGGAAGAGGCGAGUGGAAUUCCUGGUGUAGCGGUGGAAUGCGCAGAUAUCAGGAGGAACACCAGUAGCGAAGGCGGCACUCUGGGCCGGAACUGACGCUGAGGAGCGAAAGCGUGGGGAGCGAACAGG
rnacentral:rRNA from 1 species